rnacentral:lncRNA from 1 species
GUUCCGAACAGCAGUGUCCAGCAGAAUCAGGGGCAACGCUCUGGGAAAUGUGUCCUGCACCAUCCGUAAUAAGGUCCUUGGCCAAGAGAAGACUACAGCCAUGCUGAUUACAGCCCCAGAUCCAGGAAGUCUGUCCUCUCCAGCAGUGGCUCUCUCUGUGGUCUUGCCCAUCUUGGGCCUCCUCAUCCUUCUUGGCAUUGGGCUCCUCUGCAAAC